AGGGUUUGAUUAUGGCUCAGGAUGAACGCUGGCGGCGUGCCUAAUACAUGCAAGUCGAACGAACGGAAGAAAAGCUUGCUUUUUGGAAGUUAGUGGCGAACGGGUGAGUAAUGCAUAAGCAACCUGCCUACAAGGACUGGGAUAACAUUUGGAAACGAAUGCUAAAACCGGAUAGGUAUAGAAGAGGCAUCUCUUCUAUAUUAAAGGUGAGAAACACAAGUAGAUGGGCUUAUGUCGUAUUAGUUAGUUGGUGAGGUAGUGGCUCACCAAGACGAUGAUACGUAGCCGGCCUGAGAGGGUGAACGGCCACAUUGGGACUGAGACACGGCCCAAACUCCUACGGGAGGCAGCAGUAGGGAAUUUUCGGCAAUGGGGGGAACCCUGACCGAGCAACGCCGCGUGAGUGAAGACGGCCUUCGGGUUGUAAAGCUCUGUUGUAAAGGAAGAACGGCUCGGAUAGAAUCUGAGAGUGACGGUACUUUACCAGAAAGCCACGGCUAACUACGUGCCAGCAGCCGCGGUAAU
rnacentral:rRNA from 1 species